UGUGACUGCGUACCUUUUGUAUAAUGGGUCAGCGACUUAUAUUCUGUAGCAAGGUUAACCGUAUAGGGGAGCCGGAGGGAAACCGAGUCUUAACCGGGCGUUAAGUUGCAGGGUAUAGACCCGAAACCCGGUGAUCUAGCCAUGGGCAGGUUGAAGGUUGGGUAACACUAACUGGAGGACCGAACCGACUAAUGUUGAAAAAUUAGCGGAUGACCUGUGGCUGGGGGUGAAAGGCCAAUCAAACCGGGAGAUAGCUGGUUCUCCCCGAAAGCUAUUUAGGUAGCGCCUCGUGAAUUCAUCUCCGGGGGUAGAGCACUGUUUCGGCUAGGGGGCCAUCCCGGCUUACCAACCCGAUGCAAACUGCGAAUACCGGAGAAUGUUAUCACGGGAGACACACGGCGGGUGCUAACGUCCGUCGUGAAGAGGGAAACAACCCAGACCGCCAGCUAAGGUCCCAAAGUCAUGGUUAAGUGGGAAACGAUGUGGGAAGGCCCAGACAGCCAGGAUGUUGGCUUAGAAGCAGCCAUCAUUUAAAGAAAGCGUAAUAGCUCACUGGUCGAGUCGGCCUGCGCGGAAGAUGUAACGGGGCUAAACCAUGCACCGAAGCUGCGGCAGCGAACGUAUCACCCAAGACAACUUUACGGAGUUGACGAUUGACGGAGCGAAGCGACGUCAAAGCGUUCAUUAAAGUCGAGUUGGCUUAGGGAUACGUUCGUUGGGUAGGGGAGCGUUCUGUAAGCCUGUGAAGGUGUGUCGUGAGGCAUGCUGGAGGUAUCAGAAGUGCGAAUGCUGACAUAAGUAACGAUAAAGCGGGUGAAAAGCCCGCUCGCCGGAAGACCAAGGGUUCCUGUCCAACGUUAAUCGGGGCAGGGUGAGUCGACCCCUAAGGCGAGGCCGAAAGGCGUAGUCGAUGGGAAACGGGUUAAUAUUCCCGUACUUGGUGUUACUGCGAAGGGGGGACGGAGAAGGCUAUGUUGGCCGGGCGACGGUUGUCCCGGUUUAAGCGUGUAGGUGUGUGUUCCAGGUAAAUCCGGUUCACUUUAACACUGAGGCGUGACGACGAGGCACUACGGUGCUGAAGCAACAAAUGCCCUGCUUCCAGGAAAAGCCUCUAAGCAUCAGGUAACACGAAAUCGUACCCCAAACCGACACAGGUGGUCAGGUAGAGAAUACCAAGGCGCUUGAGAGAACUCGGGUGAAGGAACUAGGCAAAAUGGUGCCGUAACUUCGGGAGAAGGCACGCUGACACGUAGGUGAAGUGAUUUACUCAUGGAGCUGAAGUCAGUCGAAGAUACCAGCUGGCUGCAACUGUUUAUUAAAAACACAGCACUGUGCAAACACGAAAGUGGACGUAUACGGUGUGACGCCUGCCCGGUGCCGGAA
rnacentral:rRNA from 2 species